CCUACGGGGUGCAGCAGUGGGGAAUAUUGCACAAUGGGCGCAAGCCUGAUGCAGCCAUGCCGCGUGUAUGAAGAAGGCCUUCGGGUUGUAAAGUACUUUCAGCGGGGAGGAAGGCGAUAAGGUUAAUAACCUUGUCGAUUGACGUUACCCGCAGAAGAAGCACCGGCUAACUCCGUGCCAGCAGCCGCGGUAAUACGGAGGGUGCGAGCGUUAAUCGGAAUUACUGGGCGUAAAGCGCACGCAGGCGGUCUGUCAAGUCGGAUGUGAAAUCCCCGGGCUCAACCUGGGAACUGCAUUCGAAACUGGCAGGCUGGAGUCUUGUAGAGGGGGGUAGAAUUCCAGGUGUAGCGGUGAAAUGCGUAGAGGUCUGGAGGAAUACCGGUGGCGAAGGCGGCCCCCUGGACAAAGACUGACGCUCAGGUGCGAAAGCGUGGGGAACAAACGGGAUUAGAUACCCCAGUAGUC
rnacentral:rRNA from 1 species